UCCUGCGGCAUAUGGAGGUUCCCAGGCUAGGGGUCGAAUCGGAGCUGUAGCCGCCGGCCUAUGCCAGAGCCACAGCAACGCAGGAUCCGAGCCACAUCUGCGAUCUAUACCACAGCUCACAGCAACGCCAGAUCCUUAACCCACUGAGCAAGGCCAGGGACCGAACCCGCAACCUCAUGGUCAGAUUCGUUAACCACUGCACCACGACGAGAACUCCAGACCUGGAUUCUUGAGUGCAGAAGGACAGGACCCCCUUGCUAACACAGACCCACCUCCCUCUCAGACUGAAUCCAGGUACAGAACCAGAGGACCUGGCUUCUCAGCUACUCCCCUCUAUAAACCCAGCCCUAGAACCCACAAAGAAAAGAAAAUCCAAACUCCCAAGAAAACUGGAGCAAAACUAACAGGAAACCAGAAACACAGUGGUCACCUAAGUUCUGCCCAGCUGUGACAGACAGACAGUUCCUUGCUCUUUGUAAGCCCUGGGUUUGGAGCAGAGAUUUCUAUCCAGGGCCAACCUUCAAGGGGUUUCCAACCCUGGACUCAGGGGAGAGACUCAAACACAGACUGUCACAGUCCCCACCGGCUCCAUCAGUGGUAGUCAGGGAGGGCUUCACAGAGGAGGUGAUCCAAGGAUGAGCACGAGUUUACUAAGCAGAAGAAAUAUGCAAGGUUGUGCAAGCCAAUGGGCAGCAGUCAGGGCUUCUUCCCAACAGAAGUUCAGAUGCAAAGUGGGGAGUGGUCUAAAGAGCCUAGAGUGGUCAGCAGCAGAUCCUUAAAGGGCCUGGAGUGCAAUAUGGACUAUAAAUGAAGGGCAGGGGGAGCCACAGAAGGGCUUUGAGCAGUGGAGGGACAGAUCAGUUCAGACACUGAAAGAGUCUAGUGGGAAACUGGGGGAUGGACUAAAAAGGGUGAGACUAGAGCCCAGGAAGCAAAAGAAGAGGCUGGGAACAGGGGCCAUGAAGAUAGGGAGUAGAAGCAGAGGGCGCAGCAGAUCGUAGAGCCAUAACUGAAGAUGCAUAAAUAAGACUUACUGAGGAUGGAGGAGAGGUUACAGAAGAGCCAGGGGAUGAGAGGACACUCAGGUCUAAUGAGAUAAUUCAUGGAAGCUUGAUACAGAGUGUGUGUGUUUCAAGAUGACAGAACAUGUAUUAAUGCUGCCAAGGAAAGAAGGGAGGGAGAAACAAAGAUGCACAAGAAAGAACAGCUUCCUAAAAGUUUGGGGAGAUGGGGGCCCUCACCUUGGAGGUCCCCAUUCUCACAAGUGAUUUCUGAGUUAAGACCUGUGGUGGGGGAAGGAUCCCAGAACUCUCCCUGAAGGUCCAGACCCACUGGCCUGAGUCACAGGUCUCCCUGUCCAGCCCUUAGGACCCCUUGCUCAUCUCUGCCAAAACAGUCAUCACCCAUCCAACCUGUUCUGCCUUCCUAUCUCCAUCUCAGGAACAGCUCCAUCAUCCCCAACCCCCCAAGCCAAAGCUCUAGGUCUUUUCCUGGGCACCCCCUCAUCUCAGAGCCCAUUGGGCCCCAUAUUGGUUUUUUUCUGCCUCCUGCCGGUUCCCUACCCAAGCCAACUACUACCAAGGACUUCCAGUCUCAUUCCUCCAGUUCUGGCUCCAGCCCUGAGUCAGGCUUCCCUGCUUUAAACUAUUCCAUGGAUCCUUAUUACCCCUCCCGACCAAAACAAAACCCAAGCUCCUCAGCCUGGCCUCUACCCAGCCCUUCAUCUCUGCCAGCUUUACCCGUCUGGCCUUCCACUUGAGCAUCUAUACACAGUACCCUCCUGCAAGCCCCCGUCUUUGCUCAUGCUGAAACACCCUCCCCACAGUCUCUUCUCCAGCGGUGCUUGGUAUCUUCUACUCCUCUGAUAUCCAGCUCCAACAGCUCCUCCGGAAACCCUUUCCUGACCCACUAAACCCCCAAAAGACUCUUCCGGACGCUCCUGCUUCUGCACACCCCUGUACAUCAAUAUGUGGGUCUAUCCUCCCAUUUGACCUUGGCUCCUGAAGGGCAGAGCCCAGGUCUGAUUCACCUUGGUCACACCAUUGCCCAGCACUAGGCUUGGAACACUGGAAGACCCAGAAAAUGUUCAACUAAUAGGUGGUUGAGCAUGUUAAUGAGCAAGUGUGAGUGAGGAACUUAAUGAGGGCAGGAAGGACUGAAUGUAUGGGUGAGCAGGGCGUGUAGGGGCAGAAGAGAAUCAGGUUUAGAGUGGGAGGAAGGGAACGAAUGGCAAACAAACCUCACCGUUUCCCGCUCGAGCUAUGUCCAGGAUCCCAAUGUGAGGCGUGCUAUGAAAGGCUUAUCCGGCCAGACUUGCAGAACCUGUCCGCUCAAGGGCCCCUCCAGCGUCCACGAC
rnacentral:lncRNA from 1 species